rnacentral:misc_RNA from 1 species
UCUCCGUAGGUGAACCUGCGGAGGGAUCAUUACAGAGUUCUCGCCCUCGCGGGUAGAUCUCCCACCCACUGUUAUCGUUACUGUGUUGCUUUGGCGGGCCGCCGGGCCCCGCUCGGCCGCCGGCUCCGACUGGCGCGCGCCCGCCAGAGGCCCAGCAAACUCUGAAUGUUAGUGUCGUCUGAGUACUAUAUAAUAGUUAAAACUUUCAACAACGGAUCUCUUGGUUCUG